rnacentral:rRNA from 1 species
AGUUCCGUAGGUGAACCUGCGGAAGGAUCAUUACCGAGUGCGGGCCCUCUGGGUCCAACCUCCCACCCGUGUCUAUUGUACCUUGUUGCUUCGGCGGGCCCGCCGUCUUCGGACGGCCGCCGGGGAGGCCUCCGCGCCCCCGGGCCCGCGCCCGCCGAAGACCACAACAUGAACUCUGUUCUGAAGUUUUGCAGUCUGAGUUGAUUAUCAUAAUCAGUUAAAACUUUCAACAACGGAUCUCUUGGUUCCGGCAUCGAUGAAGAACGCAGCGAAAUGCGAUAACUAAUGUGAAUUGCAGAAUUCAGUGAAUCAUCGAGUCUUUGAACGCACAUUGCGCCCCCUGGUAUUCCGGGGGGCAUGCCUGUCCGAGCGUCAUUGCUGCCCUCAAGCACGGCUUGUGUGUUGGGCCCCCGUCCCCGCCUCACCGCGGGGACGGGCCCGAAAGGUCUACGGCGGGCACGGGCCCCGGGCCUCGGGCAGAUGCGCCCUUGUCCCCCGCGGCUGACAGGCGGCGGGCCCGCCGAAGCAACAGGCUACAAAAAACCCAAGGAUGUCGGAGGUUGGGGCCAAAGGAAUCUUUCUCGGUCAGGGCCCCG